UAAGUCCUGCUAUGUACGGAAAAAUAGAUUUAUCCUGAUCCAACACAUUUACAAAGGGAAUCCAAACUCUCGUUGUGGAAUGAUGCUUAAACAUUGUUUUAAGAGACAAGAAGCAAUGAGGAGAUGCCCACUUAAGAAGGGAUAGGGUUCAAGGAGUUAAUCUAUAUAACGUCAUAGCGGGACUUUU
rnacentral:other from 1 species